UUUCGCUCUCCUCUCUCCGACUCUCCGUUUCUCAUCUGUCAUCUCGAAACUUCUCCCUCCUUCUCUUCUCCGUCUUCUCUUUCUCCUUCGCUUCAGCCUUUUCAGCCCAAGGUUCCUACGUGUGCUCUCCGCUUCAGCUUUCAGCCCAAGGUUCCUACGUGUGCUCUCCGCUUCAGCCUUCUCCCUUCAGCUUUCAGCCCAAGGUUCCUACGUGUGCUCUCCGCUUCAGCCUUCUCCCUUCAGCUUUCAGCCCAGGCCCCAAGGUUCCUACCUGUGCAUGCUUAUGAAGUUUCAGGCUGCUGCAGCUUUGAUCUCCCCUUGUUGACGAGGACUGUCGGCGGCUGGUUCUGCUAUUCUGGUGACCCUAGUAAAACACCGGCAGCUCUCUUCGUCUCUCGUUGCAGUGAGCCAGUUUCAGGUGAGUGCCUUCGCCUUCAAUCGAUCUCUCGAUCUCCCCUUGCAUCUCCUUCUGAGAAACCACAGCUUAGUUAUGAACAGAGAGGGCUUUCAACACUAAGCAAUGCGCAGAGGUGGGGGUUUGGACAGGACUGAAGGUAGCAGCCAUUGCUGGUGUGGCUAGCACCAUUCCAACGAAAACAAAGCCACAUUAUCGAAGCGUUGGGGAAUUAAGGGCACUAGGACUGACCCCAUUUACUGACUUGUCGAUCUACUCAGGAGAAUAGCUUGAGCAGGAGGCAAAAUUACUAGAUUGAAGAAUGACAAAUUUAGAAAGAAAUAUGAUUGAUAAGGGCAAGCAAGUAUGUGAUUCGAGACAGAGUUCAGAUGAAGAACUUGCUGUUAUUGUGGCUAGAGGAAGGGAUGGUUCAUUUUCAAGUUUUGGUUCCUUGAGAAGAGAGAGGGUUCUCAAACAUUUGUUCACAUAUUGUUAGAACGAGUAUUGUAACAUAACAUUAUUUAUGGAGAGGUAGAAAAGGAGGAAAUGCUUGUGAUUUCCAAUUUACUUUGUUGACAUUUCUUGUUUUUUUAUCAAAUUAAAUCGUUGAAUUAUAGUUUGAAGAUAUGCCCCAUAGAGUUGGUGCAUAAUUACCUUAAAAUCAAAUAUGUUUAAAACAGGAGGAAAUGUUUGUUCUUGUUGUUUUUUGAUGCAGCAUUGUGUUACAUGCUAAUUUUUGAUGCAACAUUGUGUUACAUGCUAAUUUUUGAUGCAUUUGGUAUCAUGUGCCACAUAGCUAAUUGACUGCUGGUCAUCCUAAUUUUCUCAGUCUAAGGUACUUAACUUUCUAUCUGAUCGACUAUUUUGGCAGAAAACUUAUUGAUGAUGACUAAGGGUUUUGUGUCUAACAAUGUCAUGCAGCAUGUUGCUAGCAUAUGUAUUAGCAUUUGGUAUCAUGUGCCACAUACGCCAAAAGGGGAACUCCACAACUUUUUUGAAUAUCAGCAUCAGAGGCAAUGGAUUCCUGCACCAGAUGACAGUAAACAGCCUUGCUCUAUAAAGCUUCAAUUCACAAUGUUGGGCCGAAAGCUCAAUGUGAACACAAGACCAGUUGACUCUGGAAGGAAACCUGUAACAGGAAUCUGUCUGUUCCUAGAAGGAGAUGUUGAAGAGAAGCUCACCAUCCAUAUCCAACACCUCUCCUCACUACCUGCGUUCCUGAUCCUCUCCAAUGAGCUUGCCUAUGGAUCUGGUAUUGUUAACGACAAGUGUCAGACACUGUUCACAUGUAUGUAUUGCACCUGUUGAGUGCACUCUGGCUAUGACUGACAAAUCGGCCUGGAUAGUAACACUUAAAAAUAAACUGAACCUGAUUAUGUUGGUCUCAUUGGAAUAUGCAUUGGAUGCCACAAAUCUGAAUGAAUAGGUAAA